rnacentral:lncRNA from 1 species
CCCGCAAGUUCGCGCUCCGCCACGCAGCCCAAGCUCUCUCUAGCCGCGCGCUGAUCGGCCACGUUCGUCAGCCGGGCCCCACGCAAAAAGGCAGCGGGGCCGCGCGCGAGCCGACUGGACACGGACACACACGACGGACGAUUUCUUACUGUUAAUUCGAAGACAAACACGAACGAACGGACCGGGCCGGCUUGGCGAGCAACGCGUCUCCAAGACAAGUCUCUUAAGGAAACGAUCAUUCUUAUAUACUAUAUAUACAUAUAAAUAGCAACGUUCUCGCUCGCCGCUCAAGGAAACAGUUCGACGACGUGGUGUGACACGUAAUACGAGUGAAAACAUUCGAAACACGCGCGCUCCGACCUGAUCACACGAGACCUCUUCGAAGAAACGGGCAGUGACUGUGAGGAAACGAACAGGAUAUCACGGACUGCUAUCCAGUGCGCUGUUUUCGUUUGUGAAACACCGUUUACGCACGUCCUCGAACACGUCUUCUUGGGAUCGCCGCGAUCGUACAGAUUGACGAAUGACGACGUAACAGAGAGCUGGCUGGUGCGCGGAUACCGGGACACAAGAGGGGACAGCAUCUUUCAAACCGCCACAGCAACGUUUAUCACGAAUAAGAAGAACCGCGGGAAGGAAAAUCGAGACGAGGGAGCGAGGGGCACCGAGCCCUUUGGCGAGCUCGAAGGAUGCAGCUCCCAGGCGGGAGCACGAGAAUUCCGCCCGCGAGAUCACCGGCCUCAGUUCUCGUGAUCAUCAACGGAAGUAACAUCGUAUCGACUGUCACGAAGAAACGUAACGGCAACGGUAGACAUAGUAACGAAAACGACGGACCUGGUACGAAUAGCGAUAGAGACUUAAGGAAAAGUAGAAACAGUCCCGAGAACGAGCCGCGUCUCCUUAAAAGAAAUCGUCAUUGUGAGACGAGGACGAGUCGCCGACACCGAGUCAUCGAGAAGCCCCAGCUGUUGGCGUCAGCUCCAAGGCGGAAGGAGCGGGGCGAGGAAUAGUGAAAAGAAAGUAGAGAAAAACCGAGGAACGACGGAAGAAGAGGAAGAGGAGGCACGAGAGAAGGAGAAAAAGGUGAAGAGGAGGAAGCAAGAGUUCGUCAGGAAGGAGAAGG